rnacentral:rRNA from 1 species
ACGUAUGGGGCAAGCGUUAUCCGGAUUCAUUGGGCGUAAAGAGCGCGUAGGCGGAUUGUUAAGUCAGAUGUGAAAACUGGGGGCUCAACCCGCAGCCUGCAUCUGAAACUGGCAGUCUUGAGUCUGGUAGAGGAGUGUGGAAUUCCCAGUGUAGCGGUGAAAUGCGCAGAUAUUGGGAGGAACACCAGUGGCGAAGGCGGCACUCUGGGCCACGACUGACGCUGAGGCGCGAAAGCUAGGGGAGCAAACAGGAUUAGAUACCCUGGUAGUCCUAGCCGUAAACGAUGGGCACUAGGUGUGGGGGGUCAUCAACUCCCUCCGUGCCGCAGCUAACGCAUUAAGUGCCCCGCCUGGGGAGUACGGCCGCAAGGCUA